UUUCCUUUGGUUUCCAUUUCUCCCUCGCAAAUCUGGGCUUCUGGGCUUCAGUCUACAUUCAACUCGCUCUCUCUCGCUCUCCAUCUUCAUAGAAAACCUGAUUCCUCAACGCUUUCUCAAAACCUGCAAGUUUGGUUUCGACCAUUCUAUCCCAACUCACAAUCUUCGGCGCAAAACCUUGAAAAUAUUGGCCUGUGUUUCCGUCUCCAUCCCCUGAGUUGGGAUCCGUCUCUAAGAGCUUUCUGCGUCCAUCCUUCCGAAGCUACGGCCUUCACCGUAUCGCUCCGUCAGCCUCCACAUUCUCCGACUCCGGUUCCAAAAUGCGUAUUAAAAGGUUAGGUUGGAGAGAAUGGAGGUAGAAAUACAAUUGGGAAAGAUAAAGAAAGAUUUUAUGUUUGAAGGUAGAAAGUUUUUUAAUUUUUCGUGGAAUUGAUGUUCUGUUUUCGAAUGAGUUUAUUAUGGUUUGCUUGGACAAGUACCAAGAGAGUUUGGGAUUGAAAAGUUGAGAGAGGCCACAGAUGGGUUUAGAGAAAAUAGCUUGAUUGAAGGGUCUGUUUAUAAAGGUUUCAUGAAUGGAGAUUUCUUUGCUAUCCAGAAGAUGAAGUGGAACGCGUGUGAGGUGCUCAAGAUCCUACAUAAGUGAAGCAGAACGAGUCAAUCCAUCAGAUGUGAUCCUAGGUACCAAAGGCAGAGGCUUCAUUCAAAGUGAGACAUACAGGAGGGAACUGGUGGACCUCUGAAGGGAAACGUGGUGGGAAUUCCUUAAUACACUCUUCUCUGUCUCAGAAGCUGUGGUUUAUAUACAGACAGUUGACAGAUUGGAUGAUGGAACCAUAAGAGCAAAACUUAAUCCACUUGAUUAUAAAAGGGCUCCAUCAGGCAAUAUGCUCUGCGUCAAAUUUACAGAGCUUUUCCAUUGAUUUUUUUCUUGCUGCUUUUUAACUCUUGACAUGAUUUCAGGAUGUUGGAAGAGCCUUCUUCCAGGCACAUGUUGAGAGUCACUAAAGUAGCUCUAUGGGUGAUACGAUUACAAAGGUACUAUGGGAAUCUCAUGCACACUAUUACGGUUGGACUUUCUCACUCUCUCACACCCCUUUUUCUUGAAUGUUGAUCAGGUUUUAAGUAUCGUUACCUAAUCAUUCCAUUUUGGUCAUUUUCUCAAUCAAUUUUUUUUACUGGAAAAUUCAGUUUAUAUUGAUCAAUAAACAAAAACCAGUUAAUGUCAGUGUGGUUGUUUAAUAUAUAGAAAAAUCUAUUAUUUGUAGUAUUAUUUAUUAAUUCUAAGACAGUUAUCUUCAAGUAUCAGUUGUUCUUCAUUAACUAUAGUACAACAAGGACUGGUUAAUUGAUAUAAAAACGAUUUUGUGGGUCAUAGAAUCUCAUGUUUUUAGUCUCUGUGCUUCAUUUGAACCUACUUCAUUGCUCUUAUUUGAAAAGUGGGGCAUAUCUUUCUCACUUGAAUAUUAUGCAUGCACUUAUGCAGUUAGCAAUUUUAAAGGAUUUUGAUAAGCUGCAUAUACGGUUGUUUAUAAGCUACAUGUACGGUUGUUUAUAAGCUACAUGUACGGUUGUUCAUAAGUUACAUGUACAGUUGUUUUGUUUUGCACCAUAUAGAUAACUUAAUUGAAAUAUAGUCUUCCGCAUGUGCUCACCCGAUUUGUGUACAUGCAAAGGCUAUAGAUUUUGCUAUAGUUGGAAAUUUGACAGCAUGGAAUGUUUUGUGCGUAGUUUAGAAUUUAGUUUGAGAGGUGGUGGUGGAACAUGGAAUGUUUCUUCAUUGUAUAAUGCUUUAUGUAUUCUUUGUAUUGAUACGAUUAAAUUGCUCUCUAAAUCAGUUUUGAUAAAUGCUUGCCAUACGCUCGAAAUGCUUGGAGAAAAAAAAAAUGAGAGUACUACACAAGGAGGCUGCUGCGAAGGGGUAACAAUAGCUACCUAGAGCUACUGUAUCUUUGUUAUUUCAACAAUUUUCAUAAACUUUGGUUAUUAAAACAAUGAAGUUUCAUAAACUUUCAUACAAUUUUCAAUCCCGCAGCAACGCGCGGGGAUAAAUUUCUAGUAUGGUCUAAAAGCCAAAUUUUAAGAGUAGAUUUUGAGUAGGGAAAGUCAGGUCACUGAGGGGCAUGAGCGUAUUUUAUUUAUUGUAAGUGAGCCUGUCAAUUGAGCCUUUUCUUCUAAUUGAUUUCCAUCACAUGUAAGUUUUUGCCACACACGGGCAUAUCCGCCUCUGUAGGCCUAUGAAGGCUCCGUCUAUUGAACUCGGCUAGAAGAAGUAAAGAAUAUCGAGGAGGACCAUAAGAUGGUCUAAAACAUGGGAAAGGCCAAGUAUGUGGCCGAGGAAGAUGAGCCUCAACUUGUUGAAGUAUCCAUUGUAAGCUUUGUUAGAGCUGCUCACUUGUUUAAUACAUGCUUAAGAGAUUGAGAUCAUAAGAAAUUUGGAUUGACUAUA